rnacentral:rRNA from 1 species
AAAAGGUUGACCUCGGAUCAGGUAGGAAUACCCGCUGAACUUAAGCAUAUCAAUAAGCGGAG